ensembl:snRNA U6 U6 spliceosomal RNA
AUUUUCAAUUUGGCAACACAUAUACUAAAAUUGGAACAAUAAGGAGAAGAUUAGCAUGGCCCCUGCACAAGAAUGACAUGCAAAUGAUAUUUAUACAUUUCAAAAAUUU